GACGAACGCUGGCGGCGUGCCUAAUACAUGCAAGUAGAACGCUGAAGGAGGAGCUUGCUUCUCUGGAUGAGUUGCGAACGGGUGAGUAACGCGUAGGUAACCUGCCUGGUAGCGGGGGAUAACUAUUGGAAACGAUAGCUAAUACCGCAUAACAGUAGAUGUCGCAUGACAUUUGCUUAAAAGGUGCAAUUGCAUCACUACCAGAUGGACCUGCGUUGUAUUAGCUAGUUGGUGAAGUAACGGCUCACCAAGGCGACGAUACAUAGCCGACCUGAGAGGGUGAUCGGCCACACUGGGACUGAGACACGGCCCAGACUCCUACGGGAGGCAGCAGUAGGGAAUCUUCGGCAAUGGACGGAAGUCUGACCGAGCAACGCCGCGUGAGUGAAGAAGGUUUUCGGAUCGUAAAGCUCUGUUGUAAGAGAAGAACGAGUGUGAGAGUGGAAAGUUCACACUGUGACGGUAUCU
rnacentral:rRNA from 1 species